rfam:Aspergillus rambellii strain SRRC1468 contig00265, whole genome shotgun sequence.
GGCAAGGUGGCCGAGUGGUUAAGGCGCUAGUUUUAGGCUCAGUCUAGAUCACUAGUUUCGUACGAUUCAUGGGUUCGAAUCCCAUCCUUGUCA